rnacentral:tRNA from 1 species
GGCGACAUAGCUAAGUGGUAAAGCGGAGGACUAUAAAUCCUCGAUCCUCGAUUCUCGGUUCAAAUCCGGGGGUCGUCU